rnacentral:lncRNA from 1 species
UCAAAUCAAUAUUAGAAACCAAAAUUUAAAUCCAAAAUAAGCUUCUAAGAAGUACAAAAUAAUGUCAGUGUAAACGCUUAAAUCCUUAAAAAUGAAAGAGUAUGAAACUUACUUUUUGAAGAUCUUUGUAACUAAAAUUACUACAGAAAUAGUGUCAUCUCCAAGUCAUCUGAAAUGAGACAAUGGGUAUUUCAAGGACUUAAUUAUAGAACAUUUAUCAACAUAUAUUUAACUUUUGUAUCUAUGUUGUGUGGAAGCAAGAGAGAGAAAAAAUGUUUCAGAAAAAUGUCUCAGUUGUCUGAUAUGUCUCGUAUGAGUGUUAUAUAGGUGUCGGACACCGGUGUAAGGAGUGUCGGAGUAAAGAAAAAACAAUUGUAUUUAGGACUAAUAUUGGUCUCCAAAGUAUGCACGACAGCGAGUGGUGAUAUCGCUGCAAGAUGCAAACAAAUAACACACACACAAGCACACACAAUCAACUUGAUUAUUAAUAAAAACAUAACUAAUAAUAGAUUUAGCUCCCUUACAAAACCCACACAAAGGUUACAAGAAUAGUUCCAAUAGCAAAUUCAACUACAAUCACAGUCACAAGGAAAAGACAAACCUUCAAAACCUACAACGAAAAUCACACCAAGUUCAAAACCCUAAAUGCUCCUAUUCAAAAUUUUCAUCACUGCUGCAUACAAUGUUUCACAAUGCAAACAAGCAUCAUAAAAUAAUAAAAUAAAAUAAACAAAACAAUAAUUACACAAAAUAACAUUAAGAAAUGGAUCUUAUGAAAAGAAUAGGAGUAAAGGGAGUGAUAAGUACCAAUUUAUUGUACAUAUUGAAGUAGAUUAUGAAGAGGUAACAUAAUCCGAAUUCGCCGCCCUCGAACCAACACUACUGGCAGAUCAGAAAAUCGACACAAGUGAACCCCCAAUUGACUCCAAAUGAUGAAACACCACAAGCAAUGCUAGAUCACUCCCACCCUAAAACAGAACAGAGACAACAAAACAACACAAAUCUGAUCCACUACUGCAGAAUUCUGCAUGUUGUUUCACUCCAAACAUCCCUGCAACGUUAGCAGAACACACCAGAUGCACAAACUGAAGACCAAUUCCAAGCAGCCACAACUACACUACCGAAACGUGGAAGGAAAGGAAAAAUAUUUACCUUUUUCUCAAUGAUUGUGUUCACCACUAGCCUCACAUAGAAUUCGAUUAAUACAUUAAAUCAAAUCAUUUUAAAUGACAUGUACACACAAUUAUCAAUUCAUGUAUACAUUAGAGUUUCAAGGCAUCCCAAUAUCCAUUUGGUACAAUGUUAAAACACUACAACCUUCACAAUUGUAUUGAUAAGAUAAUCAGAACGCCACUCUUUAGAAUAUUUAGCAAUACACAACUUAAAAUAAUUUCAGAAAAAUCACAUUUCUUCUAAGUUCAAAAGAUGGAAAGAAUUUAGUAAAAUCAAAUGACCUAAAUCUUAUCCUCAGAAUUCAAAAGAGGGAAAAACCUAACUAUGAGACAACACGAAAUUAGGAACAAAGGGUUUUUCAGAUUAUCUUUCCAUUUCAAUUUACAAAUCCACUUCCUAGUUUUCAUGUUUUUCUCCAAAUUAGGUAUUAUAAUAAGAGAAUUAGAUAAUAACGAUUAAGCCAACGACAAAGGAAGUAAAGUAUGGUGAUUACCCAAAAUUUUCCAGAGAGUAAAGCUUGAAGAUGAACGCGCACAAAGGAGCCCUUUUGUUUCAGAAACCCUUAAUUAUGUUUGUAGGGUUCAAUCGAUUUAGCUUUUAGGUGUUCUGUCUACGAUGGUGAUUUUGUGAGUGAGUAUGGUACGAUGGAAGAAGGCUUCAGGUGAGUGAGUUAGUGGGUUGGAAGAAGAACUUUGAGUGCGUGAGUGAGUUACAAAAUGGAAAAUUGUG